GUUAAGUCGACCGCCUGGGGAGUACGGCCGCAAGGUUAAAACUCAAAUGAAUUGACGGGGGCCCGCACAAGCGGUGGAGCAUGUGGUUUAAUUCGAUGCAACGCGAAGAACCUUACCUGGUCUUGACAUCCACGGAAGUUUUCAGAGAUGAGAAUGUGCCUUCGGGAACCGUGAGACAGGUGCUGCAUGGCUGUCGUCAGCUCGUGUUGUGAAAUGUUGGGUUAAGUCCCGCAACGAGCGCAACCCUUAUCCUUUGUUGCCAGCGGUCCGGCCGGGAACUCAAAGGAGACUGCCAGUGAUAAACUGGAGGAAGGUGGGGAUGACGUCAAGUCAUCAUGGCCCUUACGACCAGGGCUACACACGUGCUACAAUGGCGCAUACAAAGAGAAGCGACCUCGCGAGAGCAAGCGGACCUCAUAAAGUGCGUCGUAGUCCGGAUUGGAGUCUGCAACUCGACUCCAUGAAGUCGGAAUCGCUAGUAAUCGUGGAUCAGAAUGCCACGGUGAAUACGUUCCCGGGCCUUGUACACACCGCCCGUCACACCAUGGGAGUGGGUUGCAAAAGAAGUAGGUAGCUUAACCUUCGGGAGGGCGCUUACCACUUUGUGAUUCAUGACUGGGGUGAAGUCGUAACAAGGUAACCGUAGGGGAACCUGCGGUUGGAUCACCUCCUUACCUUAAAGAAGC
rnacentral:rRNA from 1 species